CCUAUAGGGUACAUCGAGUGAUGCGCCCACACAGAUUGUCUGAUACUAUCUACUAGGGCAAUACCAUCCCUAGCCUCGGUAAGUUUGAUAAUAAAGUGCGCCGAGCACACUGCUCUUUAAAAAUGCGGAACAAGCUAAAAUUGAAACUCAUAAACAACAGCCGCUAAGGCGGCUCAGGGUUGUGG
rnacentral:misc_RNA from 1 species